GGGUGCGAUCAUACCAACACUAAUGCACCGGAUCCCAUCAGAACUCUGCAGUUAAGCGUGCUUAGACGAAAGUAGUACUAGGAUGGGUGAUCUCCCGGAAAGUUCUCGUGUUGCACCUC
rfam:Brassica napus, WGS project CCCW01000000 data, contig: 21634